rnacentral:ncRNA from 1 species
AUGCUAGGGGCGCAAUAUUGUAUAUCCAAUAUUCAAUAACGCUGAGAAUGUACCCUUAUUACUUGAACCGGAUAAUACCGGCGUAAGGAAGCACUAUUGU